AAAAGGAGAAAUCCGGUAUAGGAUGGGCUCGCGGCGCAUUAGCUAGUUGGUGAGGUAACGGCUCACCAAGGCGACGAUGCGUAGCCGACCUGAGAGGGUGGACGGCCACACUGGGACUGAGAUACGGCCCAGACUCCUACGGGAGGCAGCAGUGGGGAAUAUUGGGCAAUGGGCGCAAGCCUUACCCAGCAAUACCGCGUGAGUGAAGAAGGUCUUCGGAUUGUAAAGCUCUUUGAUCAGGGACGAACAGAUGACGGUACCUGAAGAACAAGCCCCGGCUAACUACGUGCCAGCAGCCGCGGUAAAACGUAGGGGGCGAGCGUUGUCCGGAAUGACUGGGCGUAAAGGGUGCGUAGGCGGCAUAAUAAGUUAGAAGUGAAAUCCCAGAGCUUAACUCGGGUGCUGCUUCUAAGACUGUUGAGCUUGAGUGCGGGAGAGGUUAAUGGAAUUCCUAGUGUAGCGGUGGAAUGCGUAGAUAUUAGGAGGAACACCAGAGGCGAAGGCGAUUAACUGGACCGUAACUGACGCUGAGGCACGAAAGUGUGGGUAGCAAACAGGAUUAGAUACCCUGGUAGUCCACACUGUAAA
rnacentral:rRNA from 1 species